rnacentral:rRNA from 1 species
UACAGAGGGUGCAAGCGUUGUUCGGAAUUAUUGGGCGUAAAGCGCGCGCAGGCGGUCCUUUAAGUCUGAUGUGAAAGCCCACGGCUCAACCGUGGAGGGUCAUUGGAAACUGGGGGACUUGAGUGCAGGAGAGAAGAGUGGAAUUCCUGGUGUAGCGGUGAAAUGCGCAGAUAUCAGGAAGAACACCCGUGGCUAAGGCGGCUCUCUAGUACGGUACUGACGCUGAGACGCGAAAGCGUGGGGAGCGAACAGG